UACGGGGGAUGCAAGCGUUAUCCGGAUUUAUUGGGUUUAAAGGGUGCGUAGGCUGUGAGGUAAGUCAGCGGUAAAAGCCCGGGGCUCAACCCCGGCGAGCCGUUGAAACUGGCGGGCUGGAGUUGGAGAGAAGUACGCGGAAUGCGCGGUGUAGCGGUGAAAUGCUUAGAUAUCGCGCAGAACCCCGAUUGCGAAGGCAGCAUACCGGCGGCGAUCUGACGCUGAGGCACGAAAGCGUGGGUAUCGAACAGG
rnacentral:rRNA from 1 species